rnacentral:rRNA from 1 species
CUCGGUCGAUGUCAGUGUGCCUAAUCAGGCUUCCGAGAAAAUCUUCUAAGCGUUAUAAAGAUAAAGCAACCAGUACCGCAAACCGACACAGGUAGUCAAGGAGAGAAUCCUAAGGUGCUCGAGUGAGUCAUGGUUAAGGAACUCGGCAAAUUAAUCCUGUAACUUCGGGAAAAGGGAUGCCAGCAGCAAUGCUGGUCGCAGAGAAAUGGCCCAGGCGACUGUUUAACAAAAACACAGGGCUACGCGAAAUCGAAAGAUGAAGUAUGUGGCCUGACACCUGCCCGGUGCUGGAAGGUUAAGAGGGGAUGUUAGUCGCAAGGCGAAGCAUUGAAUCGAAGCCCCAGUAAACGGCGGCCGUAACAAUAACGGUCCUAAGGUAGCGAAAUUCCUUGUCGGGUAAGUUCCGACCUGCACGAAUGGUGUAACGAUCUGGGCGCUGUCUCGACCAUGAGCUCGGUGAAAUUGAAGUAGCGGUGAAGAUGCCGCUUACCCGUCACGGGACGGAAAGACCCCAUGCACCUUUACUAUAGUUUUGCAUUGAUAUUGGGUAAAUGAUGUGUAGGAUAGGUGGGAGACUAUGAUGCGGUGCCGCUAGGUAUCGUGGAGUCAACGUUGAAAUACCACCCUUUAUUUACUUGGUGUCUAACGGCGCAACGCGCCAGACAGUGCAUGAUGGGUAGUUUGACUGGGGUGGUCGCCUCCAAAAGAGUAUCGGAGGCUUCUAAAGGUAUGCUCAGUACGCUUGGUAACCGUACGUAGAGUGCAAUAGCAUAAGCAUGCUUGACUGUGAGACCUACAAGUCGAGCAGGGACGAAAGUCGAGUAUAGUGAUCCGGUGGUUCCGCAUGGAAGGGCCAUCGCUCAAAGGAUAAAAGGUACGCUGGGGAUAACAGGCUGAUCUCCCCCAAGAGCUCAUAUCGACGGGGAGGUUUGGCACCUCGAUGUCGGCUCGUCACAUCCUGGGGCUGGAGAAGGUCCCAAGGGUUCGGCUUUCGCCGAUUAAAGUGGCACGCGAGCUGGGUUCAGAACGUCGUGAGACAGUUCGGUCCCUAUCUGUGAUGGGCGUUGGAAAUUUGAGAGGGCCUGACCUUAGUACGAGAGGACCGGGUUGGACCAACCUCUGGUGUAUCUGUUGUGCCGCCAGGUGCAGUGCAGAGUAGCCACGUUGGGUUAAGAUAAGCGCUGAAAGCAUCUAAGUGCGAAACUUGCCUCAAGAUGAGAUUUCCUUACAGGAUCGUCAGAGACUAUGACGUUGAUAGGCUGCAGGUGUAAAGUCAGUAAUGGCAAAGCCGAGCAGUACUAAUUAUCCU